UACGAAGGGGGCUAGCGUUGUUCGGAAUUACUGGGCGUAAAGCGCACGUAGGCGGAUAUUUAAGUCAGGGGUGAAAUCCCGGGGCUCAACCCCGGAACUGCCUUUGAUACUGGGUAUCUCGAGUCCGAGAGAGGUGAGUGGAAUUCCGAGUGUAGAGGUGAAAUUCGUAGAUAUUCGGAGGAACACCAGUGGCGAAGGCGGCUCACUGGCUCGGUACUGACGGCUGAGGUGCGAAAGCGUGGGGAGCAAACAGGG
rnacentral:rRNA from 1 species